GUCCACAUUGGAGCAGGAAGUCAGAGAUCCAGAUGGGAGGUCUCAAAAUAAAUGAACAAAACCCAAAGAAAUAGAAGUUGCCUUAUAUAUACAUAAGAACCCACAAAGGCCUAAUUGCAAACCAUCUGAAUGGACAAUUCAAAAUUCAGUGGUAAAGAUAAGACCCACAGGCUUGGCUCAGAUUAACUACUACUCUGGGCUGACUGGCUUCAGGAUCUAGAGUUGUUCUCAAGCAGCCCAAUUGGACAAAGACAGCCAAUCUCCCGGUAAAACGUACAGACUGCUGCCCUUGGCAUGUGGAUCUCUCGCUACUAGUAGAAUACAAUCUCCCACUCUACAUCAAGUGUGGCUUUUUGGACCAACAGCACAGGCAUCACCUGAGAGCUUGUGAGAAAUACAGCAUCUCAGCGUGCCUCUAACCUGCUGAAUUGGAAUCUGCCUCUUCACCAAAUACCCAGGGGAAAGACGGCAGCCCACCAGGCUCCCCUGUCCCUGGGAUUCUCCAGACAAGAACACUGGAGUGUUUGCUAUUUCCUCCUCCAAUGCAUGAAAGUGAAAAGUGAAAAUGAAGUCACUCAGUCGAUGUCCGACUCUUCACGACCCCAUGGACUGCAGCCCAUCAGGCUCCUCCGUCCAUGGGAUUUUUCCAGGCAAGAGUACUGGAGUGGGGUGCCAUCGCCUUCUCCAAAAUACUGGUCUAACAGGCCCCAAACACUUCUCUUCCCACCAAACAAGCUGCAGGCUUCCCAAGAGCCACCUGGAUUGGUUUACAAGCCAGUUUAUACUAUUGCUUCUGCUAUUAUAUUAUGAAACAUAAUUAAAUAGAUAAACC
ensembl:lncRNA